UUUAUUUAUUUAUUUAUUUUUUAUUCUUUGCAAGUGAGAAUAAAACCACCAACUACUAAAAUAGUUGACAUAUAGUAAAUUAUAUUGCACGGUAUAAAUAUUAGCACGAGCAAACGAUCUUGACCGAAACAUCUAUAAAGUCUUUUCUAUGAAUGUAAACGGGUCAGAUACAGAGACGGAAGGGAUGCCCCAUCUCCCUUUCGAUUUCUUGUUGGGUCAGGACAAAUUUGAUAGGGGUUAAAUUUAAUCCUAUUUUUGGCCUUUAUUUACCACUUCAUACGGGGAGGAUUAGGGCGGGAGCGGAUUUUUAGCGAAUUUUUGGUCAAUAGGAGCGGAUCGAAUGACGAAAGGGGUUUUCAGCCUCCCACUCUAUUUACUUCUCAGAUCAGGCAAAUUUCAGAACGGGUUAUAUUUUUUUGUUCCCAUUUAUUGCCAAAUUCAUUGUAGAUCGGGAUGGAAGCUCCACCAAUCCGGAUCGAUUUGCAUCCCUAGUCUUUUCCAAGUAAAGUUGUUUGUAAAACCACUAACUGCAUUAAAAUAGUCCUAACAAUUUAAAUUUUAUUUUACCUCUAUCUGUCGUUAUAAUUUUUUUACAGUAGAAAAGCUGUUUCAAAUGCCAAAAAUCCAAAGCAACUUAUUAUUCAAGCCAUUUAAUUCUCUA
rnacentral:lncRNA from 1 species